CCGAGUUGACAACUCCCAAACCCUGUGAACAUACCUAUCGUUGCUUCGGCGGAUCCGCCCCGGCGCCCUCGGCCGAUCAGGCGCCCGCCGGAGACCCAAACUCUUGUAUUUCUUUAGUACUUCUGAGUAUACAAGCAAAUAAAUUA
rnacentral:misc_RNA from 1 species